UAACUCAAAAUUAGCAAUAAUAGUAUUACUAAGAACGUUCUCGCGAUCACAAAAUCACCCAAAAGCUGUUGGUGGGCAUCAAUGAUGCAAUGACGCUGCAU
rnacentral:lncRNA from 1 species